rnacentral:rRNA from 1 species
UACAGAGGGUGCGAGCGUUAAUCGGAAUUAUUGGGCGUAAAGAGCUCGUAGGCGGCUUGUCACGUCGGGUGUGAAAGACCGGGGCUUAACCCCGGUUCUGCAUUCGAUACGGGCUAGCUAGAGUGUGGUAGGGGAGAUCGGAAUUCCUGGUGUAGCGGUGAAAUGCGCAGAUAUCAGGAGGAACACCGGUGGCGAAGGCGGAUCUCUGGGCCAUUACUGACACUGAGGAGCGAAAGCGUGGGGAGCGAACAGG